GUUUAUUAAUCUAUUGCAUAGAUAUUCCAUUAUUUUAUAUUGUUUCAUUCUGAUUAUAAAAGUACAGUAUAUGUUCACUAUAAAGAAAAAGCACAACUAUUACAGAAACUAUUUGGGCUGCUAUAACAAAAUAUAAUAAAAUGCUGGCUUAUAAACAACAGAAAUUUAUUUCUCACAGUUCUGGAAGCUGGGCAAGGCGCCAGCUAUUUCGGUGUCUUCUGAGGUCCCACUUUCACCUUCACAGAAGGCAUCUUCAAACUGUGUCCUCACAUGGCAAAAGGGGCCAGGCCACUCUCUGGAGCCACUUUAUAAAGGAACACUAACCCCAUUCACGAGGGCUCCAUUCUCAUAAUGAAAUCACCUCCCAAAGGCCUCACCUCCUAAUAGCAUCACAUUGAUGAUUAGCUUCCCAACAUGAAUUUUAGGUGGCCACAAACAUUCAAAUCAUAGUACUUUUUAAGUAAAAUUUUAGGAAUUAAGUCAAAACCACAGACUGAACACAUGUUCUAGCCACCUUCCUGUUCCACAUUCCUAAUUUGAGAGUAUUAUAUUUAUUUUAAAAUCAGUAAUAGUAUUUCCUUAAUCUAUCCACUGGAAAGGCCUAGAUGCAACAAACAACCAAUAAUAACAUGUACCCUAGCACCCAGAUUCUAGUCUCUCAAUGUCAUUCCCCUAUAAAACGAUCCAAGGCUCCUUAGAGAUAUGAAUGAUUUCAGGUCUAGGGCAGGAAAUAUAUGGGAUAAAUCUCAGAUAAAUCUUUGAUAACAUGGAAGUUAUCAAAGACUAGAUAGUCAAACUGCUUUAAAAAUAUUGAAAACAGUCACUAGAAGGUGGGGAAACAAAUUACAUAUUACGAUAUAAUGAUAUUAUUGAUUGACUUCUCAUCAGACACAAUGGCAACCAGAAAAAAUCUGAGUGACGACCAGGCGCAGUGGCUCACGCCUGUAAUCCCAGCACUUUGGGAGGCCAAGGCGGGUGGAUCACGAGGUAGGAGUUAAAGACCAGCCUGGCCAACAUGGCAAAACCCUACUAAAGAUACAAAAAAAAAAAAAAAUUAGCCAGGCGUGGUGGUGGGUGCCUGUAAUCCCAGGUACUUGGAAGGCUGAGGCAGGAGAAUCUCUUGAACCCAGAAGGCGAAGGUUGCAGUGAACCGAGAUCAUGCCAUUGUACUCUAGCCUGGGUGACAAGAGCAAGACUCCGUCUCAAAAAAAAAAAAAAAAAAAAAAAGAAGUAGAGACAGGGAGACAGGGUCUCACUGUGUUGCCUAGGCCGGUCUUGAACUCCUGGGCUCAAGUGAUUCUCCCACCUUGACCUCCUAAAUUGUUGGGAUUACAGGUGUGAGACAGUGCACCUGGCCGAAAUAGCUCAAGUUUCUGAAAAACAAAUCUGAAUCUAUUUGUUAUUCUUAGCGUCACUGGUCUGGCUUUCAGAAUUAACAUACAAGGUUGCCACACCUAGUUCUGCCCAGCUUUAUGUCUUUUAUUCCAGUAUUCCACCAAAGUUUGUUUUCCUGCAUUCCAGUUCUCAAGUCUUAAGAUAAAGAUUGUACUUGACAGUUUAGUAUAUCCAUAAAACUAUUUGAGGUGGUUAAGGUUCUUGGGUUCAUUUUCCUUAAUACUUUGCUGAAUAUUGUAGAUUGUAGGCAAUGAAAAAGUCUACUAAAUUAGGAAAACCUUGAAUAAUUAGGUAUCCUAGGUAAGAGCCCCUAAACAUCAAGCAAUCUGUGAGUCUGUAAAGAAAUAAAUAUUUUUUGGAUUAUUCUUAUCUAAUUCCACCCCUGUUGGAAGAUGAUUUCUUUGUUCUUUGCAACUAUGGAAGCUGUGAAAAUCAUCACAAGUGCCUCUGAAAGCGAGUGUUAGGUUGGUUAGAGGGUUUAAUAUUUUCUGCAAUGGUUUGUAGGAAUUUUAAUAAAUGUAGUAUAUUUUCUGAGAUGAUUUUGUAAAAGUACUAUUUUAAAUAUCAAAUCAACCAAUAAAUUCACAUUUGUGUUAGGAACAGAAAUA
rnacentral:lncRNA from 1 species